GACGAACGCUGGCGGCGUGCCUAAUACAUGCAAGUAGAACGCUGAAGGAGGAGCUUGCUUCUCCGGAUGAGUUGCGAACGGGUGAGUAACGCGUAGGUAGCCUGCCUGGUAGCGGGGGAUAACUAUUGGAAACGAUAGCUAAUACCGCAUAAGAGUAGAUGUUGCAUGACAUUUGCUUAAAAGGUGCAAUUGCAUCACUACCAGAUGGACCUGCGUUGUAUUAGCUAGUUGGUGGGGUAACGGCUCACCAAGGCGACGAUACAUAGCCGACCUGAGAGGGUGAUCGGCCACACUGGGACUGAGACACGGCCCAGACUCCUACGGGAGGCAGCAGUAGGGAAUCUUCGGCAAUGGACGGAAGUCUGACCGAGCAACGCCGCGUGAGUGAAGAAGGUUUUCGGAUCGUAAAGCUCUGUUGUAAGAGAAGAACGAGUGUGAGAGUGGAAAGUUCACACUGUGACGGUAUCUUACCAGAAAGGGACGGCUAACUACGUGCCAGCAGCCGCGGUAAUACGUAGGUCCCGAGCGUUGUCCGGAUUUAUUGGGCGUAAAGCGAGCGCAGGCGGUUAGAUAAGUCUGAAGUUAAAGGCUGUGGCUUAACCAUAGUACGCUUUGGAAACUGUUUAACUUGAGUGCAAGAGGGGAGAGUGGAAUUCCAUGUGUAGCGGUGAAAUGCGUAGAUAUAUGGAGGAACACCGGUGGCGAAAGCGGCUCUCUGGCUUGUAACUGACGCUGAGGCUCGAAAGCGUGGGGAGCAAACAGG
rnacentral:rRNA from 1 species